CACGUCAGUCAUGGCUGGUGGCCGUUGAGCGAGGUUGUGAAGUGCGGCUUCUGUAAACCGUCUGGCGGAGAAAGAUAGGAACUGUCUGUGAAUUGUGGGAGAAUGACUACCGCCCUGAAGUAUCUGAGAGAGCUAAGAACCUGGACCAUUAACGUCAAAAUCCAUCCCUGAAUUAUGAAGAAAAGAAAACAGAUUGAUGGGCAGCGUCAUGCAGUUAAUCACAUUUGCUGUGCUGAAUGAUUGAAGCUUUUUCUGCCUUCACUCGGUUACCUACACAUCCAUCGGCUCAGAAGAAUCAUUUGCAAGCAAUCAUCAGUCAUAAGGAAGGUAACCGCUGCCCCAGGGGAGUCUGGUUACGGUGCCCAAUCUACGCCCUCGGACCAUUGCGGAGAUCCAACAGAAUUGCAGCCAGAAGGAUUGAUAAGGGAGAGGAAAUCACCUAGUUGGAGUUAACUGCCCUCUUUCUUCAUCACCUGGCCCAUUAACGAGCUAACGACCGGUGUCAACGAUCUUCAACGACUCUUGUUUUUAAAUUUACCUCUGUACAUGUUGUAACUAAUUGUUCAUUUCGACUGAAGUUGAACCCAGGGAAGGGUUCGAAAGCUUUUUGUAAAGUCUUAAAAAUUAUACACGGACUCUUAA